GAACUUAGCUUAGUGGCGGACGGGUGAGUAACGCGUGAGUAACCUGCCUUUCAGAGGGGGAUAACGUUCCGAAAAGAACGCUAAUACCGCAUAAUAUAUUGGUGUCGCAUGGCACCGGUAUCAAAGGAGCAAUCCGCUGAAAGAUGGACCCGCGUCCGAUUAGCCAGUUGGCGGGGUAAAGGCCCACCAAAGCGACGAUCGGUAGCCGGGUUGAGAGACUGAACGGCCACAUUGGGACUGAGACACGGCCCAGACUCCUACGGGAGGCAGCAGUGGGGGAUAUUGCACAAUGGAGGAAACUCUGAUGCAGCAAUGCCGCGUGAGGGAAGACGGUCUUCGGAUUGUAAACCUCUGUCCUUGGUGAAGAUAAUGACGGUAGCCAAGGAGGAAGCUCCGGCUAACUACGUGCCAGCAGCCGCGGUAAUACGUAGGGAGCAAGCGUUGUCCGGAUUUACUGGGUGUAAAGGGUGCGUAGGCGGCUCUUUAAGUCGGGCGUGAAAGCUGUGGGCUUAACCCACAAAUUGCGUUCGAAACUGGAGGGCUUGAGUGAAGUAGAGGUAGGCGGAAUUCCCGGUGUAGCGGUGAAAUGCGUAGAGAUCGGGANGAACACCAGUGGCGAAAGGCGGCCUACUGGGCUUUAACUGACGCUGAGGCACGAAAGCAUGGGUAGCAAACAGGANUAGAUACCCNGGUAGUCCAUGCCGUAAACGAUGAUUACUAGGUGUGGGGGG
rnacentral:rRNA from 1 species